AGAGUUUGAUCCUGGCUCAGAACGAACGCUGGCGGCAUGCCUAACACAUGCAAGUCGAACGCUUCAUCGGUUUCGGCCGGUGGGGAGUGGCGCACGGGUGAGUAGCGCGUGGGAACCUGCCUUUCAGUGGGGGAUAACCGAGGGAAACUUCGGCUAAUACCGCAUGCGUCCCGGCGACAGCCGGGGGAAAGAUUUAUCGCUGAAAGAGGGGCCCGCGUCGGAUUAGCUGGUUGGUGGGGUAACGGCCCACCAAGGCGAUGAUCCGUAGCUGGUCUGAGAGGAUGAUCAGCCACACUGGGACUGAGACACGGCCCAGACUCCUACGGGAGGCAGCAGUGGGGAAUAUUGGACAAUGGGCGCAAGCCUGAUCCAGCAAUGCCGCGUGAGUGAUGAAGGCCUUCGGGUUGUAAAGCUCUUUCGCCCGCGACGAUGAUGACGGUAGCGGGAGAAGAAGCCCCGGCUAACUUCGUGCCAGCAGCCGCGGUAAUACGAAGGGGGCGAGCGUUGUUCGGAAUCACUGGGCGUAAAGGGCGCGUAGGCGGCCCUGCUUGUCGCGUGUGAAAGCCCCGGGCUCAACCUGGGAAUGGCGCGCGAGACGGCGGGGCUGGAGUUCGGGAGAGGAGAGUGGAAUUCCCAGUGUAGAGGUGAAAUUCGUAGAUAUUGGGAAGAACACCGGUGGCGAAGGCGGCUCUCUGGACCGAGACUGACGCUGAGGCGCGAAAGCGUGGGGAGCAAACAGGAUUAGAUACCCCAGUAGUCC
rnacentral:rRNA from 1 species